rnacentral:tRNA from 1 species
GAGCUCGUAGCUCAGCCGGUAGAGCACGUGACUUUUAAUCAUGGGGUCUCGGGUUCGAAUCCCGACGAGCUCA